GGAGAGGUGGAUGAGUGGUUUAAGUCGCACGCCUGGAAAGCGUGUUUAGGUUAAUAGCCUAACGGGGGUUCGAAUCCCCCCCUCUCCGCCA
rnacentral:tRNA from 9 species